rnacentral:rRNA from 1 species
GAGAAACCGGGGUCAGCGGCGGCGGUAAGGACGGGGGGGCGGACGGUAAGCGGUGUUAAUUGGCGGAAAGGGCGCGGAGGCGGGUAGAUAAGAUUGAUGUGAAAUCCCUGGGCUUAACCUAGGAACUGCAUCGAGGUCUGUGGGACUGGAGUACUGUAGAGGGUAGUGGAAUUUCCGGUGUAGCGGUGAAAUGCGUAGAGAUCGGAAGGAACACCAGUGGCGAAGGCGGCUACCUGGACAGAUACUGACGCUGAGGCGCGAGAGCGUGGGGAGCAAACAGGAUUAGAUACCCGAGUAGUC